UACGUAGGGGGCUAGCGUUGUCCGGAAUCAUUGGGCGUAAGGCGCGUGUAGGCGGUCCGGUAAGUCCGCUGUGAAAGUCGGGGGCUCAACCCUCGGAUGCCGGUGGAUACUGUCGGGCUUGAGUACGGAAGAGGCGAGUGGAAUUCCUGGUGUAGCGGUGAAAUGCGCAGAUAUCAGGAGGAACACCAAUUGCGAAGGCAGCUCGCUGGGACGUUACUGACGCUGAGACGCGAAAGCGUGGGGAGCGAACAGG
rnacentral:rRNA from 1 species